GACGAACGCUGGCGGCGUGCUUAACACAUGCAAGUCGAACGGAAAGGCCCUGCUUGCAGGGUACUCGAGUGGCGAACGGGUGAGUAACACGUGGGUGAUCUCCCCUGCACUUCGGGAUAAGCCUGGGAAACUGGGUCUAAUACCGGAUAGGAGCCAUUUUUAGUGUGAUGGUUGGAAAGUUUUUUCGGUGUAGGAUGAGCUCGCGGCCUAUCAGCUUGUUGGUGGGGUAAUGGCCUACCAAGGCGGCGACGGGUAGCCGGCCUGAGAGGGUGGACGGCCACAUUGGGACUGAGAUACGGCCCAGACUCCUACGGGAGGCAGCAGUGGGGAAUAUUGCACAAUGGGCGCAAGCCUGAUGCAGCGACGCCGCGUGGGGGAUGACGGCCUUCGGGUUGUAAACUCCUUUCGCUAGGGACGAAGCUUUUUGUGACGGUACCUAGAUAAGAAGCACCGGCUAACUACGUG
rnacentral:rRNA from 1 species